CAAGGGGCAUCCCUCGAACAUUCCUCUCUAAAAAGGAACUUUUAUGCUGCCUUGUUAAUCUUUUCCUUAUAUCAUCGCUCACCCAUCUCACGGCCAUCAUUUAGUUUCCUAACGACCACCUUUGCCAUGUUGCUGCCAUCAUUUUCAUCCUCUUCGUCACCUCUUCUUCACUUCCAUGGAGUUUUAGCUCUUUUACUUCUUGUCAUGAAUGCCAGAGAGAAAAGAACCUAAUCUUCUAUAUCUAUGCUGUAAUUGUCCUAGAAAAUGUGAAGAGGAGGGAUAAAGGAAAGAUGCCCAUUUCCCUUUCAGCCAUGUACCGGUUUCCGAGGUUAUUGGUGGUACUGGAGGAGAGGAAUGUUGACGCAAAAAAGAGACGGAGGAAAAUAUACUCGACUUCAUAUGAGAAAAAUGAUGGUGUGUCGGCUGUGGGAGCAGAGAUGAGGGCAGUAUGGAAAGGCAUUAAUCAUAGCCUCAAACUUUGAUUGAACAUCCUUUAUUUUCUUUCUCAAAGUAAUGUGGGUAAAGCACUUCAACUCCGGUUGGAUGAGGGCAUGUAUUGCAAACUUGAUGUGGAAGUGGUGCUCAUCCAAAAUGGACAAUACAAUCUCCACAUGUUUUUUGGAUUGCUCCAUGGGUCGGAAAGGGACCAAAAUAUCAUCAAAGAAAACAAAAUUUGUCAAGGCUGAGAUACCUCAUUUGUUGCAGCUUGAAUGAUGGACAAUCUUUGCAAGGUAUGCAAAGGGGGCUCUGCUUCCUCUUCUAAUAUGCGAGACGGGUGUUAGAGGCCGAGCACAUUUGAUUAGUGGGAUUCAGCCAUUGUAAUUGAUUGGAUUCGGCGGAUGGAGCCGAUAAGAGGUGACAACUCUCUGUUGCAUGACAUCUGAAGGAUAGGAGGUGGCUGCAGGCCUUUUCAGGCUAUACAUAUAUAUCAUGAGGGAAGCAUGAUCAUGAAUUGGGUUCUUUUUUUUAGCCGCACAGCAUUCUAGCGAGGUCUUUUGGGACAGAUCAGGCGUAACAGAAUUUUUGGCCCAUGCGGAGGCGUUAUCAGCGCGACGCUCUAACUAGCUCUGCUAAUGGGCCGCGUCUACGAAUCUAUGUUCGAAAACUUGAACUCUUUUGAGUUUCUUUCUCCCCCGUCAAAUCAAAAAGAAGGGGGGAAGUCCUCCGUCACGCAGCUCUGAUCUACGUAACCCUAGCUGUCCUCCUCGUCCUCCUCUCCCUCGCCCCCAGCUGCCCUCACCGCCCCCACCAUCGCUUCAAGCUCCGCUCCUCCUUCUCGUUUUCCGCUCCGCUCGGCGCCUACGGCCGCGGGAUCCCCUUCCAUCCCAUCAGCGCCGACAUCGAGCGCCGCCAGGAGGACCGCGAGUGGGAGCGGGCCCACUUCUUCCCCCACCGCGGUGGUGGCGAUUCCGCCCCGGCCAUGGAGGCCCAGCCCGUGUGGGAGGACUUCGUCGAUGCUGAGGACAACAUUGACGACGAGGACCGUUUCAAUGUCAGCCAUCUCAUCAUCGAUCUUUUGCCCAAGAUCGACAUUGGGCCUGCCGACAGCUUCGGGAGCUCCGACGAGCUCACUGAGUGGAACCUCAGGCAGGCGGAGAGGGAGGUGAUGCACCGGACGGAACGGGACAUGGAGCUCCACGACAAGAACCGCUACGGCUUCAUCUCCUUCCACGAAUGAAAGCCCCCAAGCUGGGCCCACCGGUUCGAUGAAAUUUGGUAUCAUCAAAAUUGGAACAUCUUGGAAGGGGUUUCUGUUGGAUGGAUGUCCUUACAUUGGUGAACAACCACAAUAUCAACUUUAUCAAACUUCAUGCUCUCAAGUUAAUUCAUCAAUUAUGUUGGUAUUCCUCUUUUCAUUUUUAAAAUUUACCAAAAUUCUGUGCUGAUCAAGGUUUUUAUCGAACGUCGUCAACUGCCGUAGACGAAUAUGAUGGGAUGAAGAUGGUUGGCCGGAGGGAUGCACACUGGAGAGAUGACACUCGUAAGUUGGACAAGCAGAGAGAGGUAGUGGAUUGAGGGAAGAACGCACCGCUGCGAAUGAAGACAAUAAUACUGAGACAAUGUGAGGAGGAUGAGGCUGUCGACGGACAACGAAGAGACGACGAGUUGCAGGCUAGGAAAGAUGAACGGAGGUGGCGGAGUGAGACAGAUGUGUGGUGUAGUGCAGGGGAAGGUGGAGUUUGAUAAACUGGAAGCAGGAAAGUCGGAAAGAGGGUUAGAGAUUGAAAAAUUAUGAAGGGCAUAAUUGUCCUCCAAGAUCGCGCUUUAACUUAUAACCUCUAUGGACUAGUUUUAUACAGUGAGGGAAAACAUCUUGAGACUUUCUAGUUUUUCUUUAAGAAAAAAGUUGUAAAUAAUAAAACUAAGUGCUUCUUAGAUUUUCAAAAUUCUAGUUACAUGAAGUAAAUCAAAUAUAAAUCUUUCCAUUUAAUUUGUCAUUAGGAUUUAUGUAGCCUUUAGCUCUUGUAUUUGUGAAUCAUAUGCAGUUAUUCACUUUAUUGGUUAGACCAGUCUUAGUGUUUUAUAAAAUUUUGUUGAGAAGAAGCGAAGAGAACUUAUUAUGGCAAUGUGCUAUUAAAAAAUCAACACUUUAACAUGCUAAAAGAUCCUGAAUACUAUUCUAAAUUUGAAUUACUAAUUUGUCGUAAUGACUAUGGUUUCAUAGCACAUUAAUAUAUUUGAAUCAUACAGGCAUAAGUCUACUUGGUUCUAUGAUGAGUGAUACUAAAAUGGCAAAUAAAUCCUACUUAGAAAAGGAAAACAUACAGAUAACAUAGAACUUGUCCAUAGGGGUUAUUAGUUAAAGCACGGUCCCUGGAGGAUAAUUAUGUCCUCCAUAAUUUUUUAAUCCCUAACCCUCUUUUCAACUUCUUCGUUUCUAGUUCGUCAAACUUUACGUUCCCCUGCACUACACCAUGUAUUCGUCUCACACCGCCACCUCCAUCCAUCUUUCUAGCCUGCAACUCGUUGUCUCUCUGGUGUCCGUCGACAGCGAGGUCCUCAUCCUCCUCACAUCGUCCUAGCUAACUGCUGCCACUGUCUUCAUCUAUAGCGGUGCGUUCUCCCCUCAAUCCACUACCUCUCUCUGCCUGUCCGAUAUGCGAGUGCCGUCUUUUUAGCAUGUGUCCUGGGCCAACCACCUUCGUCUCAUUGUAUUCGUCCGUAGCAGUUGUUGACGCUUGAUAAAAAGAAGGUAAAAGCCUUGAUCAACACUGAAUUUUUGUGGAUUUUGAAAACGAAAAGAGGUAUACAAACAUAAUUGAUUAAUUAACUUGAGAGCAUGAAGUUUGAUAUGGUAUGCUUAAUUUCGGUUUCAUGAUAUUAUGGUUGUGAUGAUUGUAUCUCCAUAACCUCACCUCAGCCCUUAGUCAUCAUUAUCCUUUUAAUGAUCUCACAUGGUAAAGAUUGUAGUUGCCUGUUGGAAUAAGUCCGAUACGGUCAAGAAAAUUUCCUUUUGGUACCUUUAGAGGGAUUUCAGAGAGACAUGUUGAGUGCAAAAUAAUGAUGAAGUAAAUGACAAAAACUUUAUGUCUUCUUUAACUUUCUAGGGAUAAAUUGAGUGGCUUCUCGUCAAAGUUCUUAAACACCUCUAUUAAUCUUUAACGCAUCAUAUCUCUCUCUUCUGGGAAGUAAUGCCAAGUUUUUCUUCCGUUGCUUGCUUUUUAAGGAUUGAACCAAAUUCACUCCAUGUAGGAUGAGAUUCCUUAAUGCUGGACCAACUAGGUGCAGCUUAUUCAUAUACUGCCACCAUUUAUUUGUAAUUUUUAGCAUGAGAAUCACACAGUGAUGCAAUGACCUGCGCUCUAAUCCCAUCUAGUGCAGGUUUGGUGGGGAAUUGGAUUGCAAAGAUGAUGAAAACACAAGGCAUUGUAAGAAAGGAAUAAGAUACUAUGUAUAAGAAGAGUUGUAAAAAGAAUUUAUUUCAUUAAAUCCAGCAUACAGGAUUUUUUUAAAAAAAAAAACCCAGAAAAUUCAUUAUUAGUGCUACAUAUAGAUGUCACGUUUGCAUUGUUAUAAAACUGCAGACCUAAAACCAUGAUUUUAUCCUCAAAGAUUUGUAGUAUAAAUAUGAGUCCUUAUAUAUAAUUCAACUGAAAUUACGUUCCAAUUAUUCAAGCUUGCUAAUGUUAAGAACUUUACUACAAUAACAAGUUAACCACCUUUGAACUUAGGAUAUCCUAGUCAGACUAAGGCAUGAAACUUUAGUCACUUGACUACUUAGUCAACAGACUUUGUUCUAUGUCUUUGAAUCCAGAGAGAUACUAUCUGCUAAAAGUUGUUAACAUCUUCAGAGCUAUAAUUUUGCUUCAACAUAGGCCUGAAACAAAUUUCUGGAUGAAUUUGUGGAGGCAACUGGCUCAUUUAUUAGUUGUCCACUUUUCUACGAGUAGGCAAAGCAAAGAGGUCAGUUUCUCCAUCAUUCACUAUUUCUAUCCACAAUGAUCGUUGCUUCCAUACAUCUACUCUGUCAACGACAGACUAAUGCUUCCACAAGCUUUUAGCAUAUAUUAGGCAAAGCCUUUGUCUGUGGUCCAGGACAAGUUUAUCAAGAAAUAGGAAGUGUUACAAGCUAGGCCUAUUGGGUCCCUAUAUAUUGUUUUAUUGCAUAUAAGUUCUUUGUAACUGUUCUUAUGUGCUGGUUAUUUUACAAGUGCUGUAUAUGCAACUAUGGCGUAUUAGAAGGUGUAGCCUUGGGCCAUUGGUCUUGUUAGUGGAUUUAUCAUGCACAAAAAAUUUCCUGAUAAUUGCUUAAGUUACAACUUCAUAGUUUUAUAACUUGAGAUAUAAGUAGUUUAGCACUCUUACAGCAUGAGCAUCAUUUAUGAUAGGAUUGCUAACUGGAUUUAAGUUUUUUUUCAAGGGAAAGAGAUAAAGACAGAGAUGGAAAGCUUAAUUUUCCAGAAUAUUUUAAUGGGUUAUUUUAUUUACUUCGAAAUUAUGAUGAAGUAUACAAUCCUACAGAUCAGUCCGAUACUUCAGUGGAGGCACCAGCUAAGAAAUUAUUCUCACAGGUUGACGAAGAGAAUGAUGGGUAUGGGUCAACAGAUCUGUAUUUGCUAUCUUAAAUAGGGCAGAUAGAAAUAUAGAUGGACGCUUAAGUUUGAGAGAAAUGAUUGAUAGCCCCUAUGUAUUGUACAGCGUUUUUUAGUGAGGAAGAUGAGGAUGGAUUUCACGGCGAAUUACGGUAUUCUCUUCAGGUCUGGAUCUAAGCUAACCCUUGAGCUUAGCAGCACCGGACUGUGAUACCUGGGUUUUCCAUGAUUUGCUGCAAGCGCGAUUCUUUUCAGUUUCAAUUUAUUUUGUGCUGGAAGAUCGACCUGUUCCACAUCUAAGUGCAUAAUGUACAAUACAAUAGCCAAGGAUAUGUAUUACACUAAAUUUUCUCGUGCAACUCUAGACUAAGUUCUUUGCUGAACAGAACUUGAUUCAAGUUGAAGUAUCUCUCAUCUUCGGAUGUAGCAUAUGGUUGUCGUGUCUGGGUAUUUUCUGGCCGUCGAAGAGCGACAAGAAGUACAAGCACUGGAGAACAAGAAGGUGCCAACAAAUGAAGCAAAAUUAACACCUGCAAACACUGGUCUUUCUGGGUCACAGCAGGAACCAGGACAAAAGGUCAGAGCAGCUUCAGCACAAACUAGUCGGCCCGAUGACUGCAUUUGAUGCAGGAAAGGAGAAGCUGUUUGCCUCCAGUGAACAGUUGUGCGAAUUCAAAUAAGAGCAGAGCCAUACUGUAGAUGCCCAGAGAAGUCACUUGUAAACGGGGCGCCGGGAGAGUUGGAACUUGGGACAUAGCAAGCUCAGCGCCGAUACCUGACCACUCAGCUCAAGGCCACUCUGUACUGCACUCGGUCCAAGACAGUUCUACCGUGUUCUUAGGUACUAUUAUUGGAAGAUUAGCUUGGUGAACUUGGGCUGGUCUAAGUUUCAACUUAGCUGGCUAGGGUUAUUUAGCCUUAAGCCAUGAUUAGCGUACUGUGUACAUACAAAAUAAGAUGUGUUCAUUUAACAUUUUGAUCAAAUGUAUUUAAUUAGUGUUUUUCUUUUCUUGACCAAAAUGGUCAGAAAGACGACCACAGGCUUCAUUGGAGAUAAAACAGGUAUACAAUGGAAAUUUGAAGAAAAUCAGAACAAACA